UUGCUGGAGGUAUCAGAAGUGCGAAUGCUGACAUAAGUAACGAUAAAGCGGGUGAAAAGCCCGCUCGCCGGAAGACCAAGGGUUCCUGUCCAACGUUAAUCGGGGCAGGGUGAGUCGACCCCUAAGGCGAGGCCGAAAGGCGUAGUCGAUGGGAAACGGGUUAAUAUUCCCGUACUUGGUGUUACUGCGAAGGGGGGACGGAGAAGGCUAUGUUGGCCGGGCGACGGUUGUCCCGGUUUAAGCGUGUAGGUGUGUGUUCCAGGUAAAUCCGGUUCACUUUAACACUGAGGCGUGACGACGAGGCACUACGGUGCUGAAGCAACAAAUGCCCUGCUUCCAGGAAAAGCCUCUAAGCAUCAGGUAACAUCAAAUCGUACCCCAAACCGACACAGGUGGUCAGGUAGAGAAUACCAAGGCGCUUGAGAGAACUCGGGUGAAGGAACUAGGCAAAAUGGUGCCGUAACUUCGGGAGAAGGCACGCUGACACGUAGGUGAAGUGAUUUACUCAUGGAGCUGAAGUCAGUCGAAGAUACCAGCUGGCUGCAACUGUUUAUUAAAAACACAGCACUGUGCAAACACGAAAGUGGACGUAUACGGUGUGACGCCUGCCCGGUGCCGGAAGGUUAAUUGAUGGGGUCAGCGCAAGCGAAGCUCCUGAUCGAAGCCCCGGUAAACGGCGGCCGUAACUAUAACGGUCCUAAGGUAGCGAAAUUCCUUGUCGGGUAAGUUCCGACCUGCACGAAUGGCGUAAUGAUGGCCAGGCUGUCUCCACCCGAGACUCAGUGAAAUUGAACUCGCUGUGAAGAUGCAGUGUACCCGCGGCAAGACGGAAAGACCCCGUGAACCUUUACUAUAGCUUGACACUGAACAUUGAGCCUUGAUGUGUAGGAUAGGUGGGAGGCUUUGAAGUGUGGACGCCAGUCUGCAUGGAGCCGACCUUGAAAUACCACCCUUUAAUGUUUGAUGUUCUAACGUGGACCCGUAAUCCGGGUUGCGGACAGUGUCUGGUGGGUAGUUUGACUGGGGCGGUCUCCUCCUAAAGAGUAACGGAGGAGCACGAAGGUUGGCUAAUCCUGGUCGGACAUCAGGAGGUUAGUGCAAUGGCAUAAGCCAGCUUGACUGCGAGCGUGACGGCGCGAGCAGGUGCGAAAGCAGGUCAUAGUGAUCCGGUGGUUCUGAAUGGAAGGGCCAUCGCUCAACGGAUAAAAGGUACUCCGGGGAUAACAGGCUGAUACCGCCCAAGAGUUCAUAUCGACGGCGGUGUUUGGCACCUCGAUGUCGGCUCAUCACAUCCUGGGGCUGAAGUAGGUCCCAAGGGUAUGGCUGUUCGCCAUUUAAAGUGGUACGCGAGCUGGGUUUAGAACGUCGUGAGACAGUUCGGUCCCUAUCUGCCGUGGGCGCUGGAGAACUGAGGGGGGCUGCUCCUAGUACGAGAGGACCGGAGUGGACGCAUCACUGGUGUUCGGGUUGUCAUGCCAAUGGCACUGCCCGGUAGCUAAAUGCGGAAGAGAUAAGUGCUGAAAGCAUCUAAGCACGAAACUUGCCCCGA
rnacentral:rRNA from 1 species